GAUGAACGCUGGCGGCGUGCCUAAUACAUGCAAGUCGAGCGAACGGACGAGAAGCUUGCUUCUCUGAUGUUAGCGGCGGACGGGUGAGUAACACGUGGAUAACCUACCUAUAAGACUGGGAUAACUUCGGGAAACCGUAGCUAAUACCGGAUAAUAUUUUGAACCGCAUGGUUCAAAAGUGAAAGACGGUCUUGCUGUCACUUAUAGAUGGAUCCGCGCUGCAUUAGCUAGUUGGUAAGGUAACGGCUUACCAAGGCAACGAUGCAUAGCCGACCUGAGAGGGUGAUCGGCCACACUGGAACUGAGACACGGUCCAGACUCCUACGGGAGGCAGCAGUAGGGAAUCUUCCGCAAUGGGCGAAAGCCUGACGGAGCAACGCCGCGUGAGUGAUGAAGGUCUUCGGAUCGUAAAACUCUGUUAUUAGGGAAGAACAUAUGUGUAAGUAACUGUGCACAUCUUGACGGUACCUAAUCAGAAAGCCACGGCUAACUACGUGCCAGCAGCCGCGGUAAUACGUAGGUGGCAAGCGUUAUCCGGAAUUAUUGGGCGUAAAGCGCGCGUAGCGGUUUUUUAGUCUGAUGUGAAAGCCCACGGCUCAACCGUGGAGGGUCAUUGGAAACUGGAAAACUUGAGUGCAGAAGAGGAAAGUGGAAUUCCAUGUGUAGCGGUGAAAUGCGCAGAGAUAUGGAGGAACACCAGUGGCGAAGGCGACUUUCUGGUCUGUAACUGACGCUGAUGUGCGAAAGCGUGGGGAUCAAACAGGAUUAGAUACCCUGGUAGUCCACGCCGUAAACGAUGAGUGCUAAGUGUUAGGGGGUUUCCGCCCCUUAGUGCUGCAGCUAACGCAUUAAGCACUCCGCCUGAGGAGUACGACCGCAAGGUUGAAACUCAAAGGAAUUGACGGGGACCCGCACAAGCGGUGGAGCAUGUGGUUUAAUUCGAAGCAACGCGAAGAACCUUACCAAAUCUUGACAUCCUUUGACAACUCUAGAGGUAGAGCUUUCCCCUUCGGGGGACAAAGUGACAGGUGGUGCAUGGUUGUCGUCAGCUCGUGUCGUGAGAUGUUGGGUUAAGUCCCGCAACGAGCGCAACCCUUAAGCUUAGUUGCCAUCAUUAAGUUGGGCACUCUAAGUUGACUGCCGGUGACAAACCUGAGGAAGGUGGGGAUGACGUCAAAUCAUCAUGCCCCUUAUGAUUUGGGCUACACACGUGCUACAAUGGACAAUACAAAGGGCAGCGAAACCGUGAGGUCAAGCAAAUCCCAUAAAGUUGUUCUCAGUUCGGAUUGUAGUCUGCAACUCGACUACAUGAAGCUGGAAUCGCUAGUAAUCGUAGAUCAGCAUGCUACGGUGAAUACGUUCCCGGGUCU
rnacentral:rRNA from 1 species